rnacentral:snRNA from 1 species
AUCCGGUUAUUUUCGGUAGAA